UGCAAGUCGAACGAUGAAGAGCAGCUUGCUGCUCGGAUUAGUGGCGCACGGGUGAGUAACGCAUAGGUAAUGUGCCCCUUAGUCUGGGAUAGCCACUGGAAACGGUGAUUAAUACUAGAUACUCCUUCUUGUCAUAAGGCAAGUCGGGAAAGUUUUUCGCUAAGGGAUCAGCCUAUGUCCUAUCAGCUUGUUGGUGAGGUAACGGCUCACCAAGGCUAUGACGGGUAUCUGGUUUGAGAGGAUGAUCAGACACACUGGAACUGAGACACGGUCCAGACUCCUACGGGAGGCAGCAGUGAGGAAUAUUGCACAAUGGAGGAAACUCUGAUGCAGCAACGCCGCGUGGAGGAUGACGCAUUUCGGUGUGUAAACUCCUUUUAAGAGGGAAGAUUAUGACGGUACCUCUUGAAUAAGCGCCGGCUAACUCCGUGCCAGCAGCCGCGGUAAUACGGAGGGUGCAAGCGUUACUCGGAAUCACUGGGCGUAAAGGGUGCGUAGGCUGGCUUUUAAGUCAGGUGUGAAAUCCAAUGGCUCAACCAUUGAACUGCACUUGAAACUGGGAGCCUAGAGUUCAGAAGGGGCAGAUGGAAUUAGUGGUGUAGGGGUAAAAUCCGUAGAUAUCACUAGGAAUAUCAAAAGCGAAGGCGAUCUGCUGGGAUGAUACUGACGCUGAGGCACGAAAGCGUGGGGAGCAAACAGG
rnacentral:rRNA from 1 species